rnacentral:rRNA from 1 species
AGUGAACGCUGGCGGUAGGCCUAACACAUGCAAGUCGAACGGCAGCACAGUAAGAGCUUGCUCUUACGGGUGGCGAGUGGCGGACGGGUGAGGAAUACAUCGGAAUCUACUUUUUCGUGGGGGAUAACGUAGGGAAACUUACGCUAAUACCGCAUACGACCUACGGGUGAAAGCAGGGGAUCUUCGGACCUUGCGCGAUUGAAUGAGCCGAUGUCGGAUUAGCUAGUUGGCGGGGUAAAGGCCCACCAAGGCGACGAUCCGUAGCUGGUCUGAGAGGAUGAUCAGCCACACUGGAACUGAGACACGGUCCAGACGCCUACGGGAGGCAGCAGUGGGGAAUAUUAGACAAUGGGCGCAAGCCUGAUCCAGCCAUACCGCGUGGGUGAAGAAGGCCUUCGGGUUGUAAAGCCCUUUUGUGGGGAAAGAAAAGCAGCAGGUUAAUACCCCGCUGUUCUGACGGUACCCAAAGAAUAAGCACCGGCUAACUUCGUG